UACGGAGGGUCCAAGCGUUAUCCGGAAUCAUUGGGUUUAAAGGGUCCGUAGGCGGUUUUGUAAGUCAGUGGUGAAAGCCCAUCGCUCAACGGUGGAACGGCCAUUGAUACUGCAAGACUUGAAUUAUUGGGAAGUAACUAGAAUAUGUAGUGUAGCGGUGAAAUGCUUAGAGAUUACAUGGAAUACCAAUUGCGAAGGCAGGUUACUACCAAUACAUUGACGCUGA
rnacentral:rRNA from 1 species